GGAGAAAGGGCUCUGAUGACUGACGUCAUGCUCAGAUGUCAAUUGCCCAGAGUUCCUCUUGCCACCCUAUGUGUCUGACAUUGGGAAAUAAAUGAUCAGGCUGGAUUUAGUUAGUGUUGAUGGGUCCUCAUGGCGGUAAAAGAAUAGAAUUUGCGAAAUGUAAGUAGGUGGAUGAUAGGUGUUGUGGUGUAGGCCGACAUAAUGACAGAAAGGGUGUGUGUGUGUGUGUGUGUGUGUGAGUGAGAGAAAGAGACAGCGAUGUUAGUAAUGGUUCUGCAGAAUGUUAUGACAAAGACAUUUGCAACUGGUAUUGAUUUUUUUGAAUCAACAGUGAAAAGGUUAUGCAUGGGUUGUUGAGUACCAAUUUGUGGAAGAGUUGCCAAUUACAUAGACAAACAGACACACACAUACAUAUAUAUAUACAUAUAUAUACACUAGGGCUGUCAGCGUUAACGCGUUAAUCUAUGCGAUUAAUGCGGCCGCAAUUAACGCGAUAAAAUAUUUUAACGCAAUUAACGCAACUUAAAAAAAAAAAAAUAAUAAUUAUGACAGGAAGCGAUGCGGAGAAGAGGUGGGGAGAGGAUUGGGAAAUUACAUCAGGCCAGACUUGAACCUGUGUCCCCUCGGGCAAUGUAAGUAGGCGGCUUGGCCUACCAAUAGCCCCCCUUGUUCAAAGUGGGGAAUGACAGAAAAAGUUUGACAACCACUGCGGUAAUUGAAGAUGGAGAGAGCUGAGGGAUUGUUGGGUGGAAAGUUUCUGUUUAAUAGGCAAAAUAGCUAUCACAGAAGCAGCUCGUCUUUAAGUUAUCACCUUAAUGCAAAGAACCCGACAGAAAGCAGUCCCAGGUUAGAUGGUCGCCAACCCACACUCUACGACUUCUCUAUUUGGGUUGCCGGUGACUGUCGGACCAUCAACAUAGUUAAGGACGUUGGGCUGACUGAGGUGAUUCGAAUUGCUUCAGGAGACAACUCUUACGAUUUACCGUUGAGGGGCACCAUUGUGUCUCGCAUACAUUCCUUUUAUGACGGCGAGAGAGCACGAAAAAUUCAGCUCCUCGAGCAAGCUGCCACCGUCACCCUUACUGGUGACCAUCAGUCAGCAAUGACAAUUACCUGGGUGUCACAGCUCAUUUGAUUGACAAUGUAUAGAAAUUGAGAUAUUUUUCAUUGGAAG
ensembl:lncRNA